rnacentral:tmRNA from 1 species
CCGGAGCCUACUCCUUUAAAGUUCCGAAAGAUGAAAAGGAUAAGCUGAAGCUUUGCCCGCUCCGGGGCGGAACUUCAGACGAAAACCAAACCGGAGAUACGCACGUAGAAAACCGAUUGGUGGUUUGAUUGGACAGCGGUUCGACUCCGCUCACCUCCACAA